rnacentral:rRNA from 1 species
UACGGGGGGGACAAGCGUUGUUCGGAUUUACUGGGCGUAAAGGGCGCGUAGGCGGACCGUCAAGUCGGGUGUGAAAACCGGUGGCUCAACUGCCGGCCUGCAUUCGAUACUGUCGGUCUUGAGUACAGGAGAGGAAAGUGGAAUUCCAGGUGUAGCGGUGAAAUGCGUAGAUAUCUGGAAGAACACCAGUAGCGAAGGCGGCUUUCUGGCCUGAUACUGACGCUAAAGCGCGAAGGCUAGGGGAGCAAACAGG